rnacentral:tRNA from 1 species
AUUUAAAUAGUUUAUUUAAAAUAUUGAUUUGUGGUGUCAAUGAUAUGAGAUUAUCAUUUUAAAUU